AGAGUUUGAUCAUGGCUCAGAAUCAACGCUGGCGGCGUGCCUAACACAUGCAAGUCGAACGAGAAAGCCCGCAAGGGUGAGUAAAGUGGCGACCGGGUGAGUAACACGUAGCUAACCUACCCUCGAGUGGGGGAUAACCUGGGGAAACCUGGGCUAAUACCGCAUUACAUCCCGAUGGCGCAAGCGGUUGGGAGCAAAGG
rnacentral:rRNA from 1 species